AUGAGAAUUGAUGUGCUUCGUCUCUCAGAGAAUUGUCCCGUACGGUUCACAGAAACGAGCGUCUCAGACGACACAUUUGGACGACACCAAUUUUGACACCACAGUAGUGGCAAUGGAAAGUAAUGCAGAUACUCUUGAAGAUAUAACAGAUAAUAAGCAGGGCAUGAACGAAGUAUGGAGGAUCUGUUUGAAAAUUCCAUACAUGAGAAAGAAAGUGACAGGGAGAGAUGUCCAGUUCAACGUUACCAGGACAAUUCAGCAAAGUUCCAACAGAUAU